rnacentral:rRNA from 1 species
AUUGAACGCUGGCGGCAGGCCUAACACAUGCAAGUCGAGCGAGCGGCGGACGGGUGAGUAAUGUAUGGGGACUGCCCGAUAGAGGGGGAUAACUACUGGAAACGGUAGCUAAUACCGCAUACUAUCGGAUAACCCAUAUGGGAUUAGCUAGUUGGUGAGGUAAUGGCUCACCAAGGCGACGAUCCCUAGCUGGUCUGAGAGGAUGAUCAGCAAAAAUGGGACGGAGAGCAGGCCCAGACGCCUGCGGGGGCAGCAGGGGGGAAGAUGGCAAAAUGGGGGAAAGCAUGAUGCAGCAAUGCCGCGUUUAUGAAGAAGGCCUUGGUGUGGGAAAGUACUUUCAGUGGGGAGGCGUUACCGAAAUAAGAAGCACCGGCAAACUCCGGGCCAGCAGCGGCGGAAAUAC